rnacentral:rRNA from 1 species
AGCGUACACGGUGGAUGCCCUGGCAGUCAGAGGCGAUGAAGGACGUGCUAAUCUGCGAAAAGCGCCGGCGAGGUGAUAUGAACCCUUGACCCGGCGAUGUCCGAAUGGGGAAACCCAGUGUGUUCCGACACACUAUCGUUAACUGAAUACAUAGGUUAACGAGGCGAACCGGGGGAACUGAAACAUCUAAGUACCCCGAGGAAAAGAAAUCAACCGAGAUUCCCCCAGUAGCGGCGAGCGAACGGGGAGCAGCCCGGAGUCUGAAUCAGCUUGUGUGUUAGUGGAACGGUCUGGAAAGUCCGACGGUACAGGGUGAUAGUCCCGUACACGAAAGCACACUUGCUGUGAACUCGAAGAGUAGGGCGGGACACGUGGUAUCCUGUCUGAAUAUGGGGGGACCAUCCUCCAAGGCUAAAUACUCCUGACUGACCGAUAGUGAACCAGUACCGUGAGGGAAAGGCGAAAAGAACCCCGGCGAGGGGAGUGAAAAAGAACCUGAAACCGUGUACGUACAAGCAGUGGGAGCACCUUCGGGUGUGACUGCGUACCUUUUGUAUAAUGGGUCAGCGACUUAUAUUCUGUAGCAAGGUUAACCGUAUAGGGGAGCCGAAGGGAAACCGAGUCUUAACUGGGCGUUAAGUUGCAGGGUAUAGACCCGAAACCCGGUGAUCUAGCCAUGGGCAGGUUGAAGGUUGGGUAACACUAACUGGAGGACCGAACCGACUAAUGUUGAAAAAUUAGCGGAUGACCUGUGGCUGGGGGUGAAAGGCCAAUCAAACCGGGAGAUAGCUGGUUCUCCCCGAAAGCUAUUUAGGUAGCGCCUCGUGAACUCAUCUUCGGGGGUAGAGCACUGUUUCGGCUAGGGGGCCAUCCCGGCUUACCAACCCGAUGCAAACUACGAAUACCGAAGAAUGUUAUCACGGGAGACACACGGCGGGUGCUAACGUCCGUCGUGAAGAGGGAAACAACCCAGACCGCCAGCUAAGGUCCCAAAGUCAUGGUUAAGUGGGAAACGAUGUGGGAAGGCACAGACAGCCAGGAUGUUGGCUUAGAAGCAGCCAUCAUUUAAAGAAAGCGUAAUAGCUCACUGGUCGAGUCGGCCUGCGCGGAAGAUGUAACGGGGCUAAACCAUGCACCGAAGCUGCGGCAGCGACACUAUGUGUUGUUGGGUAGGGGAGCGUUCUGUAAGCCGUUGAAGGUGUGCUGUGAGGCAUGCUGGAGGUAUCAGAAGUGCGAAUGCUGACAUAAGUAACGAUAAAGCGGGUGAAAAGCCCGCUCGCCGGAAGACCAAGGGUUCCUGUCCAACGUUAAUCGGGGCAGGGUGAGUCGACCCCUAAGGCGAGGCCGAAAGGCGUAGUCGAUGGGAAACAGGUUAAUAUUCCUGUACUUGGUGUUACUGCGAAGGGGGGACGGAGAAGGCUAUGUCAGCCGGGCGACGGUUGUCCCGGUUUAAGCAUGUAGGCGGAGGUUCCAGGUAAAUCCGGUACCUUUUAACGCUGAGGUGUGAUGACGAGGCACUACGGUGCUGAAGUGAUAAAUGCCCUGCUUCCAGGAAAAGCCUCUAAGCAUCAGGUAACACGAAAUCGUACCCCAAACCGACACAGGUGGUCAGGUAGAGAAUACCAAGGCGCUUGAGAGAACUCGGGUGAAGGAACUAGGCAAAAUGGUGCCGUAACUUCGGGAGAAGGCACGCUGAUAGGUAGGUGAAGCCCCUGCGGGCGGAGCUGAAAUCAGUCGAAGAUACCAGCUGGCUGCAACUGUUUAUUAAAAACACAGCACUGUGCAAACACGAAAGUGGACGUAUACGGUGUGACGCCUGCCCGGUGCCGGAAGGUUAAUUGAUGGGGUUAGCGGCAACGCGAAGCUCUUGAUCGAAGCCCCGGUAAACGGCGGCCGUAACUAUAACGGUCCUAAGGUAGCGAAAUUCCUUGUCGGGUAAGUUCCGACCUGCACGAAUGGCGUAAUGAUGGCCAGGCUGUCUCCACCCGAGACUCAGUGAAAUUGAACUCGCUGUGAAGAUGCAGUGUACCCGCGGCAAGACGGAAAGACCCCGUGAACCUUUACUAUAGCUUGACACUGAACACUGGUCCUUGAUGUGUAGGAUAGGUGGGAGGCUUUGAAGCGUGGACGCCAGUCUGCGUGGAGCCAUCCUUGAAAUACCACCCUUUAAUGGCUGGUGUUCUAACGUAGACCCGUGAUCCGGGUUGCGGACAGUGUCUGGUGGGUAGUUUGACUGGGGCGGUCUCCUCCCAAAGAGUAACGGAGGAGCACGAAGGUUGGCUAAUCCUGGUCGGACAUCAGGAGGUUAGUGCAAUGGCAUAAGCCAGCUUGACUGCGAGCGUGACGGCGCGAGCAGGUGCGAAAGCAGGUCAUAGUGAUCCGGUGGUUCUGAAUGGAAGGGCCAUCGCUCAACGGAUAAAAGGUACUCCGGGGAUAACAGGCUGAUACCGCCCAAGAGUUCAUAUCGACGGCGGUGUUUGGCACCUCGAUGUCGGCUCAUCACAUCCUGGGGCUGAAGUAGGUCCCAAGGGUAUGGCUGUUCGCCAUUUAAAGUGGUACGCGAGCUGGGUUUAGAACGUCGUGAGACAGUUCGGUCCCUAUCUGCCGUGGGCGCUGGAGAAUUGAGGGGGGCUGCUCCUAGUACGAGAGGACCGGAGUGGACGCAUCACUGGUGUUCGGGUUGUCAUGCCAAUGGCACUGCCCGGUAGCUAAAUGCGGAAGAGAUAAGUGCUGAAAGCAUCUAAGCACGAAACUUGCCCCGAGAUGAGUUCUCCCUGAGACCUUGA